GAUGAACGCUGGCGGCGUGCCUAAUACAUGCAAGUCGAGCGACGCGUGGACGGGUGAGUAACACGUGGGUAACCUCCUAUAUGACUGGGGUUACUUCGUGAAACCGGUGCUAAACCGGAAACUUAUCGCUGGAUGCGGUCUGUAUUAGCUAGUUGGUAAGGUAACGGCUUACCAAGUCCACGAUGCCUAGCAGACCUGAGAGGGUGAUCAGCCACACUGGAACUGAGACACGGUCCAGACUCCUACGGGAGGCAGCAGUAGGGAAUCUUCCGCAAUGGGCGAAAGCCUGACGGAGCAACGCCGCGUGAGUGAUGAAGGUCUUCGGAUCGUAAAGCUCUGUUAGUAGGGAGGCGGUACCUAAACAGAAAGCCACGGCUAACUCCGUGCCAGCAGCCGCGGUAAUAC
rnacentral:rRNA from 1 species